UGUUCAAGCCAGGAGUAUGGCACACAUCUAUCAUCACAGCAUUCAGGAGCCUGGGGCAAGAGGACUGCCCUGAGUUCCAGGCCAGCCUGGGCUACACAGUGAGAUCCUGUCUCAAUAAAUAAAUAAAUACGUAAGUUAUCCACUCAUUUCAAUCUUUACAUUUUGCUUGUAUAAAAUUACAUAUAAAUAAAAUUAUCAGUAAUCCAAGUUAGUUUCUGUUAGUAGUUACACCAUUCUCUAGUUUCUAAUGUUGCUUGUGUUCUCUUCUUAGGGAGAUGCAUUUGAACUGCAGGCAAUAGGAGAGAAUUUCCCCAGCAGAACGACAGCAACCAGAUACAACAUCAAUACCCAGUCACACUUCCUGGAACUGUCGUGGUAUGUCCUGAGGAAGAGAGGCCGUGAACCCCAAUCUGCGGAGGAAAACGUGUAGGGUGCACUGCACACAGAUCUGAUACGCAUGGGCACUGGGGAAGUGUAGUUUUUCCUGUGUGAUGUUCCUGCACAUCAGAAAACGUCUCUAUGGCCCAUCACUUUCUGG
rnacentral:lncRNA from 1 species